rnacentral:rRNA from 1 species
GAUGAACGCUGGCGGCGUGCCUAAUACAUGCAAGUCGAGCGAACAGAUGAGGAGCUUGCUCCUCUGACGUUAGCGGCGGACGGGUGAGUAACACGUGGAUAACCUACCUAUAAGACUGGGAUAACUUCGGGAAACCGGAGCUAAUACCGGAUAAUAUAUUGAACCGCAUGGUUCAAUAGUGAAAGACGGUUUUGCUGUCACUUAUAGAUGGAUCCGCGCCGCAUUAGCUAGUUGGUAAGGUAACGGCUUACCAAGGCAACGAUGCGUAGCCGACCUGAGAGGGUGAUCGGCCACACUGGAACUGCGACACGGUCCAGACUCCUACGGGAGGCAGCAGUAGGGAAUCUUCCGCAAUGGGCGAAAGCCUGACGGAGCAACGCCGCGUGAGUGGUGAAGGUCUUCGGAUCGUAAAACUCUGUUAUUAGGGAAGAACAAAUGUGUAAGUAACUAUGCACGUCUUGACGGUACCUAAUCAGAAAGCCACGGCUAACUACGCG